UCCUCUCUUUACUUUUGCGUAAAGAAGGAAUUUUAAUUCAACAUCGAGGUCAUAAACUCACUUGUCAAUUUGAUCUUUCUAAGUGAAUUAAGCUGUUAUCCCUAAAGUAACUUAUUUCUCUUUUAGAAAUUCUAGGUAUUUAAACAAGUCCGUUUUAAAAAAUUAAGAGAAGAUUUUUCUCCCACCGCCCCAGCGAAAUACUUUUUCCUCUUUUUUACGGAAGAAAAAUAUAAAGUUUUAUAGGGUCUUCUUGUCUAAAAGAGAUAUCUUAGCCUUCUUACUAAAAGGUAAAAUUCAUUUUUAAAAAUAAAAAGAAUCCCUCUUGGUUUACUCUUUCAUUCCAGUCUCAAAUUAAAAGA
rnacentral:rRNA from 1 species